GGUCUAAGCGUGUAGGGUAUCCGGUUGUUAAAUGCGCUGGUGUUUGCCUGAGACGUGAUGGGACCCCGUUUGUGGGGGAUUUGGUGAUCCUAUGCUGCCGAGAAAAGCAUCGACGUGAGGUUCUAGUUGCCCGUACCCUAAACCGACACAGGUGAUCAGGUAGAGAAUACUAAGGCGAUCGAGAGAAUCAUGGUUAAGGAACUCGGCAAAAUGCCCCCGUAACUUCGGGAGAAGGGGGACCUUGAGCGUGGAGGGCACUUGC
rnacentral:rRNA from 1 species